CCUACGGGGGGCAGCAGUAGGGAAUCUUCCACAAUGGACGAAAGUCUGAUGGAGCAACGCCGCGUGAGUGAAGAAGGGUUUCGGCUCGUAAAGCUCUGUUGGUAGUGAAGAAAGAUAGAGGUAGUAACUGGCCUUUAUUUGACGGUAAUUACUUAGAAAGUCACGGCUAACUACGUGCCAGCAGCCGCGGUAAUACGUAGGUGGCAAGCGUUGUCCGGAUCUAUUGGGCGUAAAGCGAGUGCAGGCGGUUCAAUAAGUCUGUUGUGAAAGCCCUCGGCUCAAACGGGGAAAU
rnacentral:rRNA from 1 species